rnacentral:rRNA from 1 species
UACGAAGGGGGCUAGCGUUGUUCGGAUUUACUGGGCGUAAAGCGCACGUAGGCGGAUCGUUAAGUCGGGGGUGAAAUCCUGGAGCUCAACUCCAGAACUGCCUUCGAUACUGGCGAUCUCGAGUCCGGAAGAGGUAAGUGGAACUCCUAGUGUAGAGGUGGAAUUCGUAGAUAUUAGGAAGAACACCAGUGGCGAAGGCGGCUCACUGGUCCGGUACUGACGCUGAGGUGCGAAAGCGUGGGGAGCAAACAGG